rnacentral:rRNA from 1 species
CCGGCUNANUNCCNNNNNAGCAGNCGCGGUAAUNCGGAGGGUGCGAGCGUUAAUNGGAUUNCUGGGNNUAAAGCGCAUGCAGGUGNUUUGUUAANUCAGANGUGAAAANCCGGGGGCUCAANCUCGGAAUUGCAUUUGAAACUGACAAACUAGAGUACUGUAGAGGGGGGGUAGAAAUNUCAGGUGUAGCGGUGAAAUGCGUAGAGAUCUGAAGGGAAUACCCGGUGGCGAAGGCGGCCCCCCUGGACAGAUACUGACACUCAGAUGCGAAAGCGUGGGGAGCAAACAGGAUUAGAUACCCUGGUAGUCCACGCCGUAAACGAUGUCUACUUGGAGGUUGUGGCCUUGAGCCGUGGCUUUCGGAGCUAACGCGUUAAGUAGACCGCCUGGGGAGUACGGUCGCAAGAUUAAAACUCAAAUGAAUUGACGGGGGCCCGCACAAGCGGUGGAGCAUGUGGUUUAAUUCGAUGCAACGCGAAGAACCUUACCUACUCUUGACAUCUACAGAAGCCAGCGGAGACGCAGGUGUGCCUUCGGGAACUGUAAGACAGGUGCUGCAUGGCUGUCGUCAGCUCGUGUUGUGAAAUGUUGGGUUAAGUCCCGCAACGAGCGCAAUCCUUAUCCUUGUUUGCCAGCACUUCGGGUGGGAACUCCAGGGAGACUGCCGGUGAUAAACCGGAGGAAGGUGGGGACGACGUCAAGUCAUCAUGGCCCUUACGAGUAGGGCUACACACGUGCUACAAUGGCGCAUACAGAGGGCGGCCAACUUGCGAAAGUGAGCGAAUCCCAAAAAGUGCGUCGUAGUCCGGAUUGGAGUCUGCAACUCGACUCCAUGAAGUCGGAAUCGCUAGUAAUCGUGGAUCAGAAUGCCACGGUGAAUACGUUCCCGGGCCUUGUACACACCGCCCGUCACACCAUGGGAGUGGGCUGCAAAAGAAGUGGGUAGUUUAACCUUCGGGAGGACGCUCACCACUGUGUGGUUCAUGACUGGGGUGAAGUCGUAACAAGAUAACCG